rnacentral:rRNA from 1 species
UACGAGAGGCCCAAACGUUAUUCGGAAUUACUGGGCGUAAAGGGCGCGUAGGCGGCCAUCUAAGUCAGACGUGAAAUCCCCCGGCUUAACCUGGGAACUGCGUCUGAUACUGGACGGCUCGAGUAUGGGAGAGGGAUGUAGAAUUCCAGGUGUAGCGGUGAAAUGCGUAGAUAUCUGGAGGAAUACCGGUGGCGAAGGCGGCAUCCUGGACCAUUACUGACGCUGAGGCGCGAAAGCUAGGGGAGCAAACGGGG